rfam:Picea glauca, whole genome shotgun sequence.
ACAUGCCUACAGCAUAACAUUAAUACAUCGGAUCCCAUUAGAACUCCGCAGUUAAGCGCGCUCAUGCUAGAGUAGUAAUGGGAUGGGUGAUCGCCCAGGAAGUCCUAGUAUUUUACAUGCC